rnacentral:rRNA from 1 species
CCAAAGUUCCUAGGAGGCAUGGGAUUCACGGACAUCUCAAUUUUCAAUCAAGCCAUGUUGGGUAAACAAUGUUGGCGUCUUUUAACCGAGCCCAACUCUUUAUGUGCCCGAGUGUUAAAGGGUAGGUAUUAUCCUGAUGGGGAUUUUUGGACUACAAAGUGCGCGAGGUCUUCAUUUUACACAUGGCGUAGUCUGAUGUAUGGGAAGCGAUUGAUAGAAAAAGGCCUGCAGUGGAGAGUAGGAGAUGGCAAACAAAUACACAUAUACAUGGACAAUUGGAUUCAAAAUGUGAUUCUCGGAACUCUGCAACCAACGAGUGAAAACCAAUUAGUGGGUUCCUUGAUUACCGAGGAGGGUCAAUAA